rnacentral:rRNA from 1 species
AUUGAACGCUGGCGGCAGGCCUAACACAUGCAAGUCGAGCGAGCGGCGGACGGGUGAGUAAUGUAUGGGGAACUGCCUGAUAGAGGGGGAUAACUACUGGAAACGGUAGCUAAUACCGCAUACCAUCAGAUGUGCCCAGAUGGUAUUAGCUAGUAGGUGGGGUAACGGCUCACCUAGGCGACGCGCCCUAGCUGGUCUGCGAGGAUGAUCAGCCAAACUGGAACUGAGACACGGUCCAGACUCCUACGGGAGGCAGCAGUGGGGAAUAUUGCACAAUGGGCGCAAGCCUGAUGCAGCCAUGCCGCGUGUAUGAAGAAGGCCUUAGGGUUGUAAAGCACUUUCAGCGGGGAGGCGUUACCGGCAGAAGAAGCACCGGCUAACUCCGUGCCAGCAGCCGCGGUAAUUC